GAGGGUAUAGCUCAGUGGUAGAGCACGUGCCUGGCAUGCAUGGGGUCCCGAGCUCAAUCCCCAGGACCUCCA
rnacentral:tRNA from 1 species